CAGGAAUCCUGAAGAGAUUGGGAGUGCUCGAAAGAGAACCUGCACACAGGUGCUGCAUGGCUGUCGUCAGCUCGUGUCGUGAGAUGUUGGGUUAAGUCCCGCAACGAGCGCAACCUUGCCAUUAGUUGCUACGAAGGGCACUACUAAUGGGACUGCCGGUGACAACCGGAGGAAGGUGGGGAUGACGUCAAGUCCUCAUGGCCCUUAUAGGUGGGGCUACACACGUCAUACAAUGGCCGGUACAGAGGGUAGCCAACCCGCGGGGGGGAGCCAAUCCCACAAAGCCGGUCGUAGUCCGGAUCGCAGUCUGCAACUCGACUGCGUGAAGUCGGAAUCGCUAGUAAUCGCGGAUCAGCAUGUCGCGGUGAAUACGUUCCCGGGUCUU
rnacentral:rRNA from 1 species